ACAUGCCUACAACAUAGUGUUAAUGCAUUGGAUUCCAUUAGAACUUCAUAGUUAAGAAAACUUAGGAUAGAGUAGUAUUGGGAUGGGUGCCCAACUGGGAAUUCCUAGUGUUUUGCAUGCC
rnacentral:rRNA from 1 species